GGAAUAUUGGUCAAUGGGCGUAAGCCUGAACCAGCCAUCCCGCGUGAAGGAAGAAGGCGCUAUGCGUUGUAAACUUCUUUUCCAGAGGAAGAAAACUCCCGAUGUAUCGGGACUUGCCGGUACUCUGGGAAUAAGCAUCGGCUAACUCCGUGCCAGCAGCCGCGGUAAUACGGAGGAUGCGAGCGUUAUCCGGAUUUAUUGGGUUUAAAGGGUGCGUAGGCGGAUUAAUAAGUCAGUGGUGAAAACCUUCAGCUUAACUGGAGACUUGCCAUUGAUACUGUUAGUCUUGAGUACGGUCAAGGUAGGCGGAAUGUGUAAUGUAGCGGUGAAAUGCUUAGAUAUUACACAGAACACCGAUUGCGAAGGCAGCUUACUGGGCCAUUACUGACGCUGAUGCACGAAAGCGUGGGGAGCGAACAGGAUUAGA
rnacentral:rRNA from 1 species